UAAUCAGAGCAAUUUUGGGGUGAUUUUGAGUGCUUAUCAGCUGCCAGCCCUGUUGCAACUUGAAACUGGACGGAAGACUGAUAAGAGCCUCAAUUUUGCCCAUUUCGAUGAUAUUGCUC
rnacentral:pre_miRNA from 9 species